UCCUCGGUAGCUCAAUUGGUACAGAACCUGUCUUGUAAACAGGAAGUUGUGUGUUCGAUCCGCACCCGAGGAG